AGCGAGUGGUUAUCAUGCCCAGCAACUACCUAUUUUACCGACCGAAUGGCUGUGUACGUGUGCAGUGACCAAAGUAGAUUGAAUCAAUCCGUGCAUCGAUUCACAGGAGCACUGACCUGAUCUAUGCGACGGUGCGAGAAAAAUCAUCCCAGCGUGGUGCUACGCUAGUCACCUAGUCAUCAGCAUCGGUGCUACGUAAACUUAUGGCAAUGGUGCGUUCCUAUCAGUGCGUCACUUCAAGGAAGCCCUUCCCAAGUCUUCAUCCGGCCCGCUACCUUUGCGUAGCUGCUUCACUGGAGGCCUGGGUGGAGACUGGCGGACAGCUUUGCGAUGUUACGGUUGUAGCCAAUUCUUGUUGCACUUAGAUUUCCACUGGGCGUUAUCCCUCUUGAGCUGAGAAGACAAGGGCUCCCUCCUAGGGGGCGAAAAUAGGUGAGCUGGGGUCACCUUGUUAGCGGGGUGUUAAGCAUUUGAAUGCAACACUCCUACGCAAGACCCUAGCUAUGGCUCCAUAGGGUGUGAUGAGUGCUUCAUCCGGUGCUCUUCUACUGCCUUGCCCACCUACCCUUGUGAUAUGGGCCGCGCGUGUCUGCGUGUCUCCUGUAUCGGUUGUAUAUCACUCCUGAGCUACGGGUGUGCAAUUCCCAUGUCUUUUGGGAAUAGGCGUCAAGACUAGAGGUAGUUUUGUUGUCUUAGCCGGCCACAGGCGGCGGUGAUAAAACCUGCAGUUGAUGUAAUGGAGUCACAUACUGAAUCCACUUGACUGGCUGUGGCUGAAAUAAAAACAUUUUCCACAUUGAUCUCAUCUUGACUCUCG
rnacentral:misc_RNA from 1 species